AUUGAACGCUGGCGGCAUGCUUUACACAUGCAAGUCGAACGGUAACAGGCCGCAAGGUGCUGACGAGUGGCGAACGGGUGCGUAAUGCAUCGGAACGUGCCCAGUCGUGGGGGAUAACUACUCGACAGCGUAGCUAAUACAGCAUACGAUCUAUGGAUGAAAGCGGGGGACCGUAAGGCCUCGCGCGAUUGGAGCGGCCGAUGUCAGAUUAGGUAGUUGGUGGGGUAAAGGCUCACCAAGCCAACGAUCUGUAGCUGGUCUGGGAGGACGACCAGCCACACGGGAACGGGGACACGGCCCAGACUCCUAGGGGGGGAGCCGGGGGGGAAUUUUGGACAAGGGGGGCAGGCCGGAUCCAGAAAUGCCGGGGGCAGAAAGAAGGCCUCCGGUUGGUAAACUCCGUUUUUAGGGAACAAAACGGCUCUGGUGAAGACCCGGGGCUAAUGACGGUACCGGAAAAAUAAGCACCGGCUAACUACGUG
rnacentral:rRNA from 1 species